rnacentral:sRNA from 1 species
CUCGUUAGGUGAGGCGUCCGCACAAAAAAUGCCGCUGCCCAGAAAGGUCGAGAGACCCCAAUGGGUUGACCAGAUCCCGCCGAAUCAAGGCGGAUUCUAAUGCGGCUGAGUUCCUCGGGACUCUACGGUGUGCGGUGCUAAAGCUCGACG